GACGAACGCUGGCGGCGUGCCUAAUACAUGCAAGUAGAACGCUGAAGCGAGGAGCUUGCUCUUCUUGGAUGAGUUGCGAACGGGUGAGUAACGCGUAGGUAGCCUGCCUUGUAGCGGGGGAUAACUAUUGGAAACGAUAGCUAAUACCGCAUAACAAUGGAUGACACAUGUCAUUUAUUUGAAAGGGGCAAUUGCUCCACUACAAGAUGGACCUGCGUUGUAUUAGCUAGUAGGUGAGGUAAUGGCUCACCUAGGCGACGAUACAUAGCCGACCUGAGAGGGUGAUCGGCCACACUGGGACUGGGACACGGCCCAGACUCCUACGGGAGGCAGCAGUAGGGAAUCUUCGGCAAUGGGGGCAACCCUGACCGAGCAACGCCGCGUGAGUGAAGAAGGUUUUCGGAUCGUAAAGCUCUGUUGUAAGUCAAGAACGGGUGUGAGAGUGGAAAGUUCACGCUGUGACGGUAGCUUAACAGAAAGGGACAGCUAACUACGUG
rnacentral:rRNA from 1 species